rnacentral:rRNA from 1 species
AGUGAACGCUGGCGGCAGGCCUAACACAUGCAAGUCGAACGGCAGCACAGUACUUGCUUGUGGUUACGGGGGGCGAGUGGCGGGUGGUUCAUGAGAAUAUCCGAAGCUGUUGUUUAUAAGGGCAUAACGCAGGGGCUCUUACCGCAUUACCCCAUACGGCGUACGUGGGGGAGCAUGGGACCUUCCGCUCUCAGGCGAUUGUAUGAGCGGAGGUCGGAUUAGCUAGUUGGCGGGGUACAGGCCUACCAAGGCGACGAUCCGUAGCUGGUCUGAGAGGAUGAUCAGCCACACUGGAACUGAGACACGGUCCAGACUCCUACGGGAGGCAGCAGUGGGGAAUAUUGGACAAUGGGCGCAAGCCUGAUCCAGCCAUGCCGCGUGGGUGAAGAAGGCCUUCGGAUUGUAAAGCCCUUUAGGUGGGGAGGAAGGGCAGCAGGUUAAUACCUCGCUGUUUUGACGGUACCAACAGAAUAAGCACCGGCUAACUUCGUG